UUGUUCAGGGUGGAGAAGCAGGGCACGUGCAUCCAUAGCACAUAUUCCUGCUCGCAAAAUGAAGAGUUGUGCCUGUCUUCAUGUGCUCAUCUUCUCCACCAUGCACAA
rnacentral:pre_miRNA from 1 species